GAUGAACGCUGGCGGCGUGCCUAAUACAUGCAAGUCGAGCGAACAGAUGAGGAGCUUGCUCCUCUGACGUUAGCGGCGGACGGGUGAGUAACACGUGGAUAACCUACCUAUAAGACUGGGAUAACUUCGGGAAACCGGAGCUAAUACCGGAUAAUAUAUUGAACCGCAUGGUUCAAUAGUGAAAGACGGUUUUGCUGUCACUUAUAGAUGGAUCCGCGCCGCAUUAGCUAGUUGGUAAGGUAACGGCUUACCAAGGCAACGAUGCGUAGCCGACCUGAGAGGGGGAUCGGCCACACGGGAACUGAGCCACGGUCAAGACUACUACGGGAGGCAGCAGUAGGGAAUCUUCCGCAAUGGGCGAAAGCCUGACGGAGCAACGCCGCGUGAGUGAUGAAGGUCUUCGGAUCGUAAAACUCUGUUAUUAGGGAAGAACAAAUGUGUAAGUAACUAUGCACGUCUUGACGGUAACUAAUCAGAAAGCCACGGCUAACUACGUG
rnacentral:rRNA from 1 species